AGACACAUAGAUGGACCUUCUUCAUGAUGAUCUGUCCCCAAACUUGUCCUUCGGGUCUUCCAACAAUGUCCACUUCAACUGAGUAGUUGUCCUCUUCUCCUCUUCCCCUUCCACCUUUCCCAGCAUCAGAGUUUCUCCAGAGAGCUGAGUCUUUUGCACUGAUUGAUUGGUUGACAUCAAGUCCUUGUCAACUCAUCAUGACCAGACAGAAUUCCUCCGCGAUGAUCUGACCUGGUCUUUCAGACCUUCCAAUGCUGGCUUCAUCAGCACCGUGACGAAGUCCCUUCAUCUUGCUGUGGGUUGGUCCUCCUCUCCUCCUUCCUUCCAUCUUCUCCAGAUCCAGGCUCCAUCGAAGCCUUCUCUAGGGAGCUGGCUCUUCGCCUCACGUGUCCAAAGUCGGGACUUGUGUGCCUCAAGUGCGGUCUUGUUCCCAGCUCCUGGAUCAUCCUAUCUUUUGAAAAGCAGCCCUCUUUCUCUCUCCAGCAAAGCCUACUGACACACUCGCACAGACACACAUGAACAGGCUCUCACUUGGCCCCCCUCCCUGGUGAUUCAUGUUCCUCCCACACGCCUCAGCUGCUUUUGUUUUCCUCCGCAGAGCAAUGUGUCUAAUACAUGGCGAAAACACGCCGUGCCAAACGUCAGCUUGCGGAGCUGUUGGGAACACACACGGAUGUCAAGCGUAUGGCUUUAACCUUCAAAUAAAGCCUUGCCAGUAACUGGU